rnacentral:rRNA from 1 species
GCGCUUCCGGAUGUGCGUGACGGUCUGAAGCCGGUCCACAGACGGAUUUUAUACGCAAUGAAUGAUUUAGGCAUGACCAGUGACAAGCCAUAUAAAAAAUCUGCCCGUAUCGUCGGUGAAGUUAUCGGUAAGUACCACCCGCACGGUGAUUCAGCGGUUUACGAAUCAAUGGUCAGAAUGGCGCAGGAUUUUAACUACCGCUACAUGCUUGUUGACGGACACGGCAACUUCGGUUCGGUAGACGGCGACUCAGCGGCUGCGAUGCGUUAUACAGAAGCGAGAAUGUCAAAAAUCGCAAUGGAAAUUCUGCGUGACAUUACGAAAGACACGAUUGACUAUCAAGACAACUAUGACGGUUCAGAAAGAGAACCAGCCGUCAUGCCUUCAAGAUUUCCGAAUCUGCUCGUGAACGGGGCUGCCGGUAUUGCGGUCGGAAUGGCGACAAACAUUCCUCCGCAUCAGCUUGGGGAAGUCAUUGACGGCGUGCUUGCCGUAAGUGAAAAUCCAGAGAUUACAAUCCAAGAGCUGAUGGAAUACAUCCCGGGCCCGGAUUUUCCGACGGCCGGCCAGAUUUUAGGCCGGAGCGGCAUCCGCAAGGCAUAUGAAUCCGGACGGGGAUCCAUUACGAUCCGGGCUAAGGCUGAAAUCGAACAGACAUCAUCGGGAAAAGAAAGAAUUAUUGUCACGGAACUCCCUUAUCAGGUGAACAAGGCGAGAUUAAUUGAAAAAAUCGCGGAUCUUGUCCGGGACAAAAAAAUCGAAGGAAUUACCGAUCUGCGUGACGAAUCCGACCGUAACGGAAUGAGAGUCGUCAUUGAGCUCCGCCGUGACGCCAAUGCUCACGUCAUUUUGAAUAACCUGUACAAACAAACGGCUCUGCAGACGUCUUUCGGAAUCAACCUGCUGGCGCUCG